rnacentral:rRNA from 1 species
GACGAACGCUGGCGGCGUGCUUAACACAUGCAAGUCGAACGGAAAGGCCCUGCUUUUGUGGGGUGCUCGAGUGGCGAACGGGUGAGUAACACGUGAGUAACCUGCCCUUGACUUUGGGAUAACUUCAGGAAACAGGGGCUAAUAUCGGAUAGGAGCUCCUGCUGCAUGGUGGGGGUUGGAAAGUUACGGCGGUGGGGGAUGGACUCGCGGCUUAUCAGCUUGUUGGUGGGGUAGUGGAUUACAAAGGCUUUGACGGGUAGCCGGCCUGAGAGGGUGACCGGCCACAUUGGGACUGAGAUACGGCCCAGACUCCUACUGGAGGCAGCAGUGGAGAAUAUUGCACAAUGGGCGGAAGCCUGAUGCAGCAACGCCGCGUGCGGGAUGACGGCCUUCGGGUUGUAAACCGCUUUCGCCUGUGACGAAGCGUGAGUGACGGUAAUGAGUAAAGAAGCACCGGCUAACUACGUG